UCGCGGUGUCAACUGGCAUGUUCGUGUGACGUCCUACCGGUGGGCUUAGCCUCUCGGGGCGGUCCAACUAAUAUCCCAUCGCGGUGCUCUUAAUUGAGUGUCGAGGUGGGCCGGUACGUUUACUUUGAACAAAUUAGAGUGCUUAAAGCAGGCUAUCUUCGCCUGAAUACUGUGUGCAUGGAAUAAUGGAAUAGGACCUCGGUUC
rnacentral:rRNA from 1 species